CGGGGAACCAGGACUUUUACUGUGAAAAAAUUAGAGUGUUCAAAGCAGGCCUUUGCCCGAAUACAUUAGCAUGGAAUAAUAGAAUAGGACGUUGUGGUUCUAUUUUGUUGGUUUCUAGGACCGCCGUAAUGAUUAAUAGGGAUAGUCGGGGGCGUCAGUAUUCAGCUGUCAGAGGUGAAAUUCUUGGAUUUGCUGAAGACUAACUACUGCGAAAGCAUUCGCCAAGGAUGUUUUCAUUAAUCAGGAACGAAAGUUAGGGGAUCGAAG
rnacentral:rRNA from 1 species